AAUAAUUUUUUGUAGUACUGGACGUACUUUUGAUCACCUGGUUGGUGAUAAUAGAAGGCCUGGCUCUUUUGGGCAUAUGGGCGUUCGCCCUCUACAUAACAUUCCAGCCCAUUAUGUUGGGCUUGCCCAUUUUUUUUUAACUACCCUCUGAUGGGGUUAUACAGAUAUCUCCGAAAUAUAAGAAAAAUAAAUUACAUCAUUCAAAAAUAAAUCCGACUCUCUGCUCAAUGGGUCACGCCCAUAAUUCU
rnacentral:lncRNA from 1 species